AUACAGAGGGUGCAAGCGUUAUUCGGAAUUACUGGGCGUAAAGCGCGCGUAGGCGGAUGAUUAAGUCAGUUGUGAAAGCCCUGGGCUCAACCUAGGAACUGCAUCUGAUACUGGUCGUCUAGAGUUUAAGAGAGGGAAGUGGAAUUCCAGGUGUAGCAGUGAAAUGCGUAGAUAUCCGGAGGAACAUCAGUGGCGAAGGCGACUUCCUGGCUUAAAACUGACGCUGAGGUGCGAAAGCGUGGGUAGCGAACGGGAUUAGAAACCCUUGUAGUCC
rnacentral:rRNA from 1 species